rnacentral:rRNA from 1 species
CCCUUAGAUGUCCUGGGCCGCACGCGCACUACACUGAUGCAUUCAACGAGUUCUACCUUGGCCGAGAGGCCUGGGCAAUCUUUUGAACCUGCAUCGUGAUAGGGAUAGAUUAUUGCAAUUAUUAAUCUUGAACGAGGAAUUCCUAGUAAACGCAGAUCAUCAAUCUGCAUUGAUUACGUCCCUGCCCUUUGUACACACCGCCCGUCGCACCUACCGAUUGAAUGGUCCGGUGAAGCCUCGGGAUUGUGGCGAGUUCCCUUUAUUGGGAGUUUGUCGCGAGAACUUGUCUAAACCUUAUCAUUUAGAGGAAGGUGAAGUCGUAACA